rnacentral:rRNA from 1 species
UGGGGAAUAUUGCACAAUGGAGGGAACUCUGAUGCAGCGACGCCGCGUGAGUGAUGAAGGAAUUCGUUUCGUAAAACUCUGUCCUUAGUGAAGAUAAUGACAGUAACUAAGAAGCAAGCCCUGGCUAAAUACGUGCCAGCAGCCGCGGUAAUACGUAUGGGGCAAGCGUUGUCCGGAAUUAUUGGGCGUAAAGGGUACGUAGGCGGUUUAAUAAGUCCUAAUUAAAAGGCUAUGGCUCAACCAUAGUAUGGUUAGGAAACUGUUGAACUUGAGUAGAUGGGGGGAAAGUGGAAUUCCAUGUGUAGCGGUGAAAUGCGUAGAUAUAUGGAGGCACACCAAUGGCGAAAGCAACUUUCUGGAAACAAACUGACGCUGAGGUACGAAGGCGUGGGGAGCAAACAGG